GGGGAAGGCAGAUACACCCUUAAUUGGGUGGGCACCGUCUAAUCAGCCACCAGCAAAUUUAUUAAGCAGGCAGGAAAACGUGAAGAGGUUAGAUUGGCCUAGACUCCCAGCCCACAUCUUUCUCCUGUGCUGGAUGCUUCCUGCCCUCGAACAUCUUCAGUUUUGGGACUCAGACUGGCUCUCCUUGCUCCUCAGCUUGCAGACAGCCUAUUGCAGGACCUUGUGGUCAUGUAAGGUGUCACCUAGGGCUCUGCUCUGCCUCGUCCUCACUCUAGGACCCAGGCUGAGGGGCAGCUGCUGUCUGAGCAUUGCUGAUUGCCAUGGUAGAGGGAAAGAAAAAAGAAAAAACUGCAAGCUAGGUCUAGAAACUUUGUUACAGAUGUACAUGUUUAUCGAAAGCACACAGAAACAGAGAAGAUCCUGCGAAGACAGCAGCAGAGCCUGGAGUGAUGCAGCUCAAGUUAAGGAACGCCAAAGGCUGCCAGGCUAGGAAGGCAGGAUUCUUCUCAGGAGCCUUCGGAGAGGGCGUGGCCCUCAGAAUAGUGAGAGAAUAAACUUCUCUUGUUUUAAGCCUUCUGUUUAUGG
rnacentral:lncRNA from 1 species